UAUUGGACAAUGGGCGAAAGCCUGAUCCAGCCAUGCCGCGUGUGUGAAGAAGGCCUUCGGGUUGUAAAGCACUUUCAGCGAGGAAGAACGCCUAGUGGUUAAUACCCAUUAGGAAAGACAUCACUCGCAGAAGAAGCACCGGCUAACUCCGUGCCAGCAGCCGCGGUAAUACGGAGGGUGCGAGCGUUAAUCGGAAUUACUGGGCGAAAGCGCGCGUAGGUGGCUUGAUAAGCCGGUUGUAAAGCCCCGGGCUCAACCUGGAACGGCAUCCGAACUGUCAAGCAAGUGCAGAAGAAGGAGAUUCCCGGUGAGCGGUAAAUGCGAAGUCGGAGAAUCCAGUGGCGAGCGCCUUCUGGCUGACUGACUGCGGCAAAUACGAACGU
rnacentral:rRNA from 1 species